GACAAGGUGGCCAAGUGGCUACAGCAAUGAACUGCUAAUAAAGUGUGUUCUGCAUGCAUGGCUUCAACUACCAUUCUUGUUG
rnacentral:tRNA from 1 species